AUUGAACGCUGGCGGCAGGCCUAACACAUGCAAGUCGAGCGGAGCGGCGGACGGGUGAGUAAUGCCUAGGAAUCUGCCUGGUAGUGGGGGAUAACGUCCGGAAACGGGCGCUAAUACCGCAUACUAUCAGAUGAGCCUAGGUCGGAUUAGCUAGUUGGUGGGGUAAAGGCCUACCAAGGCAACGCUCCGUAACUGGUCUGAGAGGAUGACCAGGCAGUAUGGAGCUGUGACACGGUCCAGACUCCGAAGGUAGGCGUCGGUGGGGAAUCUUGGACCAUGGGCGAAAGCCUGAUCCACCCAUGCCGCGUGUGUGAAGAAGGUCUUCGGAUUGUAAAGCACUUUAAGUUGGGAGGCGUUACCGACAGAAGAAGCACCGGCUAACUCCGUGCCAGCAGCCGCGGUAAUAC
rnacentral:rRNA from 1 species